CCACUGGUGCGCACGCUCGAUGGGCGCGGGGGUCCUGGCCGAGACGCGAGAGCUCAGGUGUGGGGAGGAGGAGGAGGAGGAGGAAGGUCGAAAACCCGCCAAGCCUGUGCCGGGCGCCCUCCGGCCGGCUUCCCUCUCGUGGUCUCCCACCCGCUCCUCCCUUUCCUCCGCCUUGUCGUCUUUCCUCUCUUUCCCCUCUUUUUCCGGUCUCCGAGCCUCGGACAGCUUGGGCGUGGAAUAUCGGGGAGUUCUAGACGGCCAGCAGGAUUGGGAGGCGCUCUGGUGCAAAGCCCUCGUUUGCGCAGACGGGGAAACCGAGGCCCGGGGCGGCCGGGCUGCCUGGCGGGUGCCCGGGCCGUGCGCGCGCGUGUCCGCCUGCCGCGCCGCCCCCGCCGCGGAGCGUUUCCCCUUUUCUCGGGGGGACCCGCGCGGGAGCCGCGGCGCGGCCCGUGUUGCCCAAGCGCGGAGCUCAGGGCGCCCAUCUACCGACGGUUUGGCUGGAGCCCUUCCCCCUGCAGUCUCGCGUCUCUAAGCUCCAGCAAGGCCCCCGUCCACGAUCUCCCAGGCCACUCACGUGCCCGCGAAUCUCCAGUGCAGCCCUGCAGCGCGGGACGCGCUCACAGUCCCCACCGCAGAGCAGGGCGGGGCUGCAGCGACCCACCCAGGGCCGGGGCUCCCUUCCCCGCGGAGAGCGACCCUGGGCUGCGCGGGGUGGCCGUCCCGACGGUUAGGGCCGCGGCACCCGCGUCCUCCCCUCCCACAUCGACCCGAGGCAGAUGCUGCCGGGGCCCUUCCACCUGGGAGCCCGCCUUCCGGGGUGCUGUGCAGAAGGUCUCCGAUUUAAACCAAAGCGGGGGUCACCGGGCAGAGCUCUCACCCCCGACGGCACUAAGCAGCUGGUUCUUACUGAGCCCGGGUCCACCUUUUCCGGAGCAAGGUGUGCUUUUACAUCAGGAAAAGGGGGCCAGGUGGUGUUUCUGCUUUGGCCACGGUUUCACAGAUUGUCCCCCCCCCCCCCCCAUUGCUCCCUCAUCCCCAGCACUGAUAGUGCUCCUGCUCCCCUGUGUUCAGAGGCAGUAA
rnacentral:lncRNA from 1 species